rnacentral:rRNA from 1 species
UACGUAGGGUGCAAGCGUUGUCCGGAAUUAUUGGGCGUAAAGAGCUUGUAGGCGGUUUGUCGCGUCUGCUGUGAAAUUUCGGGGCUCAACCCCGAACUUGCAGUGGGUACGGGCAGACUAGAGUGUGGUAGGGGAGACUGGAAUUCCUGGUGUAGCGGUGAAAUGCGCAGAUAUCUGCAGGAACACCCGUGGCGAAAGCGGCGCGCUGGACCACUACUGACGCUGAGGAACGAAAGCUAGGGGAGCAAACAGG